rnacentral:rRNA from 1 species
UWAAGUCCCGCAACGAGCGCAACCCUWGUYUCUAGCUGCUAYGAAAGGGCACUCUAGAGAGACUGCCGGUGACAAACCGGAGGAAGGUGGGGAUGACGUCAAGUCCUCAUGGCCCUUAUGGGUAGGGCUUCACACGUCAUACAAUGGUGCAUACAGAGGGUUGCCAAGCCGCGAGGUGGAGCUAAUCCCAGAAAAUGCAUCGUAGUCCGGAUCGUAGUCUGCAACUCGACUACGUGAAGCUGGAAUCGCUAGUAAUCGCGGAUCAGCAUGCCGCGGUGAAUACGUUCCCGGGUCUUGUACACACCGCCCGUCACACCAUGGGAGUGGGCUUUACCAGAAGUAGUUAGCCUAACCGCAAGGAGGGCGAUUACCACGGUAGGGUUCAUGACUGGGGUGAAGUCGUAACAAGGUAACC